rnacentral:tRNA from 1 species
GCCCACAUCGUAUAGCUGGUGCGUACGCUCGCCUGAAGAGCGGGAGGAGGCGGUUCGAUUCCGCAUGUGGGUA